UUUAUGGAGAGUUUGAUCCUGGCUCAGGAUGAACGCUGGCGGCGUGCCUAAUACAUGCAAGUCGAGCGAACGGACGAGAAGCUUGCUUCUCUGAUGUUAGCGGCGGACGGGUGAGUAACACGUGGAUAACCUACCUAUAAGACUGGGAUAACUUCGGGAAACCGGAGCUAAUACCGGAUAAUAUUUUGAACCGCAUGGUUCAAAAGUGAAAGACGGUCUUGCUGUCACUUAUAGAUGGAUCCGCGCUGCAUUAGCUAGUUGGUAAGGUAACGGCUUACCAAGGCAACGAUGCAUAGCCGACCUGAGAGGGUGAUCGGCCACACUGGAACUGAGACACGGUCCAGACUCCUACGGGAGGCAGCAGUAGGGAAUCUUCCGCAAUGGGCGAAAGCCUGACGGAGCAACGCCGCGUGAGUGAUGAAGGUCUUCGGAUCGUAAAACUCUGUUAUUAGGGAAGAACAUAUGUGUAAGUAACUGUGCACAUCUUGACGGUACCUAAUCAGAAAGCCACGGCUAACUACGUGCCAGCAGCCGCGGUAAUACGUAGGUGGCAAGCGUUAUCCGGAAUUAUUGGGCGUAAAGCGCGCGUAGGCGGUUUUUUAAGUCUGAUGUGAAAGCCCACGGCUCAACCGUGGAGGGUCAUUGGAAACUGGAAAACUUGAGUGCAGAAGAGGAAAGUGGAAUUCCAUGUGUAGCGGUGAAAUGCGCAGAGAUAUGGAGGAACACCAGUGGCGAAGGCGACUUUCUGGUCUGUAACUGACGCUGAUGUGCGAAAGCGUGGGGAUCAAACAGGAUUAGAUACCCUGGUAGUCCACGCCGUAAACGAUGAGUGCUAAGUGUUAGGGGUUUCCGCCCCUUAGUGCUGCAGCUAACGCAUUAAGCACUCCGCCUGGGGAGUACGACCGCAAGGUUGAAACUCAAAGGAAUUGACGGGGACCCGCACAAGCGGUGGAGCAUGUGGUUUAAUUCGAAGCAACGCGAAGAACCUUACCAAAUCUUGACAUCCUUUGACAACUCUAGAGAUAGAGCUUUCCCCUUCGGGGGACAAAGUGACAGGUGGUGCAUGGUUGUCGUCAGCUCGUGUCGUGAGAUGUUGGGUUAAGUCCCGCAACGAGCGCAACCCUUAUGCUUAGUUGCCAUCAUUAAGUUGGGCACUCUAAGUUGACUGCCGGUGACAAACCGGAGGAAGGUGGGGAUGACGUCAAAUCAUCAUGCCCCUUAUGAUUUGGGCUACACACGUGCUACAAUGGACAAUACAAAGGGCAGCGAAACCGCGAGGUCAAGCAAAUCCCAUAAAGUUGUUCUCAGUUCGGAUUGUAGUCUGCAACUCGACUACAUGAAGCUGGAAUCGCUAGUAAUCGUAGAUCAGCAUGCUACGGUGAAUACGUUCCCGGGUCUUGUACACACCGCCCGUCACACCACGAGAGUUUGUAACACCCGAAGCCGGUGGAGUAACCUUUUAGGAGCUAGCCGUCGAAGGUGGGACAAAUGAUUGGGGUGAAGUCGUAACAAGGUAGCCGUAUCGGAAGGUGCGGCUGGAUCACCUCCUUU
rnacentral:rRNA from 1 species